GCCCUAGUAACGGCGAGUGAAGCGGCAACAGCUCAAAUUUGAAAUCUGGCUCUUUCAGGGUCCGAGUUGUAAUUUGCAGAGGGCGCUUUGGCGUUGGCAGCGGUCCAAGUUCUUUGGAACAGGACGUCACAGAGGGUGAGAAUCCCGUACGUGGUCGCUAGCCUUCGCCGUGUAAAGCCCCUUCGACGAGUCGAGUUGUUUGGGAAUGCAGCUCUAAAUGGGAGGUAAAUUUCUUCUAAAGCUAAAUACUGGCCAGAGACCGAUAGCGCACAAGUAGAGUGAUCGAAAGAUGAAAAGCACUUUGGAAAGAGAGUCAAAUAGCACGUGAAAUUGUUGAAAGGGAAGCGCUUGCAGCCAGACUUGCCUGUAGUUGCUUAUCCGGACUUUUGUCCGGUGCACUCUUCUGCGGGCAGGCCAGCAUCAGUUUAGGCGGUUGGAUAAAGGUCUCUGUCAUGUACCUCUCUUCGGGGAGGCCUUAUAGGGGAGACGACAUGCAACCAGCCUGGACUGAGGUCCGCGCAUCUGCUAGGAUGCUGGCGUAAUGGCUGUAAGCGGCCCGUCUUGAAACACGGACCAAGGAGUCUAACAUCUAUGCGAGUGUUUGGGUGUCAAGCCCAGACGCGUAAUGAAAGUGAACGGAGGUGGGAACCCUUUGGGUGCACCAUCGACCGAUCCUGAUGUCUUCGGAUGGAUUUGAGUAAGAGCAUGGCUGUUGGGACCCGAAAGAUGGUGAACUAUGCUUGAAUAGGGUGAAGCCAGAGGAAACUCUGGUGGAGGCUCGCAGCGGUUCUGACGUGCAAAUCGAUCGUCAAAUUUGGGCAUAGGGGCAAUCGAAAAUCGAAGAAAGACUAAUCG
rnacentral:rRNA from 1 species